rnacentral:rRNA from 1 species
UCAGGACGAACGCUGGCGGCGUGCCUAACACAUGCAAGUCGAGCGGGACACAUAACGGAUAGGAAGUUUCGGAUGGAAUUGGAGAUAGUGUGUUCUAGCGGCGGACGGGUGAGUAACGCGUGAGCAACCUGGUCCUUCACAGGGGGAUAACACAGCGAAAGUUGUACUAAUACCGCAUAAGACCACGCCGGGGCAUCCCGGAGGGGUCAAAGGAGGAAUCCGGUGAAGGGUGGGCUCGCGUCCGAUUAGAUAGUUGGUGAGGUAACGGCCCACCAAGUCAACGAUCGGUAGCCGACCUGAGAGGGUGAUCGGCCACAUUGGGACUGAGACACGGCCCAAACUCCUACGGGAGGCAGCAGUGGGGAAUAUUGGGCAAUGGACGAAAGUCUGAACCCCAGCGACGCCGCGUGAGGGAAGAAGGUCUUCGGAUUGUAAACCUUAGUCAACAGGGACGAAGCAAGUGACGGUACCUGUGGAGGAAGCCACGGCUAACUACGUGCCAGCCGCUGC